AUCCGAUCUCAUUUGUAACUUCUCUAUCUUACUAAGUGCUAAAAAUCCCUUAGUGAAGGGUGGUGUAACUUCUCUAAGUAAUGAUACUUUAGUUCUUUGUCACAUCGGUUAGUAAAUUGUUACCUCAGCUCUUCAAUAUGUUAAUUAGUCCGAUCUUCUGUUAUUAACCGAUUAUUGGUAAAUGGCGCAUCAUGUUUACUUAAGUGAUUGUCAUUCAUAUACUCAAAUGUAAACGGUUCAACACAAUAGAAAAGCAGAAGCAACAAUACUUAACAAAAAAAAUUCAUUUCAUUCAUUUGGAAUUGGAUUACAAAAGAGGUCGAAGCCACCACAAAAAUUAAUUAACUUUAUUCUACUGGGGUCUGAUCUCUCUGUCCGAUUUCUAACCUUGGAGUUAUAAUACGAGGUGUUCAACACCCAUCCGAAGUGGUUCCGAAGUAACACCACCACCAAUGUUGUUGAUCUGCUAAUGCACUACGAGAUACAGACAAUUUACUGAAUCGAUCGAAGCGUCCUAGCCCCUGAAGUUGAGGCGCACUACAUUUUGAGGCUCUCUAUCAGAGGAUCUGCCGCCAAUUUCAGAAAAAGAUCUAUGUCAAGGUCCUUUCUGCCCCCAAGGUUUAAUUGAUUGGACAUCUCCAUGAGCCUAGUUGAUGUGAUGUAUCAACUUUAUGUCAACUCAACUCGGGAGAAGUAAUUACCCGCCCACUCUAUAGACGCGACUGAUUGAAGCCUAUGAGCAAACGCCUCACACCGUCAGAUGCAUACACGUGUCCCACAUCCAACGAUUCUCCUCACCUAUAAAUACCCAAGGUUUGACAAGAGGUAAAGGUAAUGAAACUCUUACAACAUAUCUUUC
rnacentral:lncRNA from 1 species